rnacentral:pre_miRNA from 1 species
AUUGUACUCCCUCCGUCCCAAGAUUCUUGUCUUAGAUUUGUCUAGAUACAGAUGUAUCUAAUACUAAAAUGUGACUUGAUACAUCCGUAUUUAGACAAAUCUAAGACAAGAAUCUUGGGACGGAGGGAGUAACAU